rnacentral:rRNA from 1 species
AACCGCCGGGGUGGCGGAAUUGGCAGACGCACAGGACUUAAAAUCCUGGGGUAGGUAACUACCGUGCCGGUUCGAGUCCGGCCCUCGGCAUAUGCGCUCGUAGCUCAAUUGGAUAGAGCAUCUGACUGGAUGAAUUCGUACGAUAAUAAAAAGUGGGCGCGGAGUUUUGUUCAGUUUUGAAGGAACAUGUUUGAUGUUCUUUCAAAAAAAGAGGCUUUGUGUCAGAAGUAGUCUUGUGUCUGCGUCUGCAAGCAGGGGCAAGGAAGUUGGAUUUCUCUUUGUGAACACAUGAUAUUUUUAAGCGCUUUGCGUCUGCGUCUGCAAGUGAAUGCAAAGAAGCUGGAUUCCUCGACGCAAGACAGCAAAGAAGUGAGCACAAGGUAGCAGUCUCGUUCCUUGAAAACUAGAUAACCGGAAGGAAGAAGCCGUUGAUGGGUGAUGGCGUGCCUUUUGUAGAAUGAACCGGCGAGUUACGAUGACGUGCAAGGUUAAGUCGAAAAGACGGAGCCGCAGCGAAAGCGAGUCUGAACAGGGCGCACAGUACGUCGUCGUAGACCCGAAACCAGGUGAUCUACCCAUGUCCAGGGUGAAGGUAGGGUAACACCUACUGGAGGCCCGAACCCACGCACGUUGAAAAGUGCGGGGAUGAGGUGUGGGUAGGGGUGAAAUGCCAAUCGAACCUGGAGAUAGCUGGUUCUCCCCGAAAUAGCUUUAGGGCUAGCCUCAAGGGAAGAGUCUUGGAGGUAGAGCACUGAUUGAGCUAGGGGCCCUCAUCGGGUUACCGAACUCAGUCAAACUCCGAAUGCCAAUGACUUAUCCUUGGGAGUCAGACUGCGAGUGAUAAGAUCCGUAGUCGAGAGGGAAACAGCCCAGACCACCAGCUAAGGUCCCAAAGUGUACGUUAAGUGGAAAAGGAUGUGGAGUUGCCCAGACAACCAGGAUGUUGGCUUAGAAGCAGCCAUCAUUUAAAGAGUGCGUAAUAGCUCACUGGUCGAGUGACUCUGCGCCGAAAAUGUACCGGGGCUAAACGUACCACCGAAGCUGUGGGAUGACCAACGGUCAUCGGUAGGGGAGCGUUCUAAGUGCGCUGAAGCGAGACCGGAAGGACUCGUGGAGCGCUUAGAAGUGAGAAUGCCGGUGUGAGUAGCGAAAACAGAGGUGAGAAUCCUCUGCACCGAAAGCCUAAGGGUUCCUGAGGAAGGUUCGUCCGCUCAGGGUUAGUCGGGACCUAAGCCGAGGCCGAAAGGCGUAGGUGAUGGGCAACAGGUAGAGAUUCCUGUACCACCUCCUCACCGUUUGAGCAAUGGGGGGACGCAGGAAGGUAGGGCGAGCAGGCUGCUGGAAUAGCCUGUCCAAGCGGUUAGGCCGCCAGAUAGGCAAAUCCGUCUGGCAAUAAGGCGGAGCCGUGAUGGCGAGGGACCGUUGGUCCCGAAGUCCCCGAUCCUACACUGCCAAGAAAAGCCUCUAGCGAGGUGAGAGGUGCCCGUACCGCAAACCGACACAGGUAGGCGAGGAGAGAAUCCUAAGGUGCGCGGGAGAACUCUCGUUAAGGAACUCGGCAAAAUGACCCCGUAACUUCGGGAGAAGGGGUGCUCUCUUGGGUCCAAAGCCUGAGGGAGCCGCAGUGAAAAGGCCCAAGCGACUGUUUAUCAAAAACACAGGUCUCUGCGAAGCCGAAAGGCGAAGUAUAGGGGCUGACACCUGCCCGGUGCUGGAAGGUUAAGGGGAGCGCUUAGCGGAAGCGAAGGUGCGAACCGAAGCCCCAGUAAACGGCGGCCGUAACUAUAACGGUCCUAAGGUAGCGAAAUUCCUUGUCGGGUAAGUUCCGACCCGCACGAAAGGUGUAACGACUUGGGCACUGUCUCAACGAGAGACCCGGUGAAAUCAUACUACCUGUGAAGAUGCAGGUUACCCGCGACAGGACGGAAAGACCCCGUGGAGCUUUACUGCAGCCUGAUAUGGAAUUUUGGUAUCGCUUGUACAGGAUAGGUGGGAGCCUGGGAAGCCGGAGCGCCAGCUUCGGUGGAGGCGGCGGUGGGAUACCACCCUGGCGGUAUUGAAAUUCUAACCCGCACCCCUUAGCGGGGUGGGAGACAGUGUCAGGUGGGCAGUUUGACUGGGGCGGUCGCCUCCCAAAAGGUAACGGAGGCGCCCAAAGGUUCCCUCAGAAUGGUUGGAAAUCAUUCGGAGAGUGCAAAGGCAGAAGGGAGCUUGACUGCGAGACAGACAGGUCGAGCAGGGACGAAAGUCGGGCUUAGUGAUCCGGUGGUUCCGCAUGGAAGGGCCAUCGCUCAACGGAUAAAAGCUACCCCGGGGAUAACAGGCUGAUCUCCCCCAAGAGUCCACAUCGACGGGGAGGUUUGGCACCUCGAUGUCGGCUCAUCGCAUCCUGGGGCUGUAGUCGGUCCCAAGGGUUGGGCUGUUCGCCCAUUAAAGCGGUACGCGAGCUGGGUUCAGAACGUCGUGAGACAGUUCGGUCCCUAUCCGUCGCGGGCGCAGGAAAUUUGAGAGGAGCUGUCCUUAGUACGAGAGGACCGGGAUGGACGCACCGCUGGUGUACCAGUUGUCCCGCCAGGGGCACCGCUGGGUAGCUAUGUGCGGAAGGGAUAAGCGCUGAAAGCAUCUAAGCGUGAAGCCCCCCUCAAGAUGAGAUUUCCCAUCGCGU